rnacentral:tRNA from 1 species
GUUUCGGGAGCUGGGUAUAUAGCGGGAGUUUUGUAGUCUUCAGUUGGUAAAGGUGUUUAUUCGUUAUU